rnacentral:rRNA from 1 species
UUUAUGGAGAGUUUGAUCCUGGCUCAGGAUGAACGCUGGCGGCGUGCCUAAUACAUGCAAGUCGAGCGAACGGACGAGAAGCUUGCUUCUCUGAUGUUAGCGGCGGACGGGUGAGCAACACGUGGAUAACCUACCUAUAAGACUGGGAUAACUUCGGGAAACCGGAGCUAAUACCGGAU